rnacentral:tRNA from 1 species
GCUUCGCUGGCGGAAUCGGCAGACGCACCGCACUCAAAAUGCGGCACCCACACGGGUAUCCGGGUUCGACCCCCGGGCGAAGCA